UCCGUAUUACAUUUCUUCGCCAUCAACUAAGAGUACAAAAUCCAUAACAAUAUUGUCCGUAAAAAUAGAAAAAUAAAAAUAAAAAUUAUUAGAUGCUAUCAUAAACUCACAUACAUAAAGUGGAGGUCGAGGUUUGAACUCCAAUCAUAACAUCCGACCUAACAAUUUCGACAUUUUUAUCAGUUGACGGCUUAUCUAACUUUAUAGAGUAAUAUUAUGAGAACAUCUCUCAAUCACAUAUACAUUGGGCAGUCCAGGGAGGGGGAAAAACUAAUAUAUAAACACACUUUGGUUUAAGAGGAAACAUGCACAUAUAUUUUGGACAAUCGGAAUCUUGAAAGCAUUUAAUAACCGCUGCAAAGAAAAAAGAGGAUAAAUGUAUGAUACUAAAAUGGAUAAAAUAUUAUGGAGUAACUAACUAAGAGAAAAAAAGAUAAAAA
rnacentral:lncRNA from 1 species